rnacentral:rRNA from 1 species
GGGUUGUGAGGUUAAGCGACUAAGCGUACACGGUGGAUGCCCUGGCAGUCAGAGGCGAUGAAGGACGUGCUAAUCUGCGAUAAGCGUCGGUAAGGUGAUAUGAACCGUUAUAACCGGCGAUUUCCGAAUGGGGAAACCCAGUGUGAUUCGUCACACUAUCAUUACGUGAAUACAUAGCGUAAUGAAGCGAACCGGGGGAACUGAAACAUCUAAGUACCCCGAGGAAAAGAAAUCAACCGAGAUUCCCCCAGUAGCGGCGAGCGAACGGGGAGCAGCCCAGAGUCUGAAUCAGCUUGUGUGUUAGUGGAACGGUCUGGAAAGUCCGACGGUACAGGGUGAUAGUCCCGUACACCAAAAUGCACAGGUUGUGAACUCGAAGAGUAGGGCGGGACACGUGGUAUCCUGUCUGAAUAUGGGGGGACCAUCCUCCAAGGCUAAAUACUCCUGACUGACCGAUAGUGAACCAGUACCGUGAGGGAAAGGCGAAAAGAACCCCGGCGAGGGGAGUGAAAAAGAACCUGAAACCGUGUACGUACAAGCAGUGGGAGCAUCCUUUUGGGUGUGACUGCGUACCUUUUGUAUAAUGGGUCAGCGACUUAUAUUCUGUAGCAAGGUUAACCGUAUAGGGGAGCCGAAGGGAAACCGAGUCUUAACUGGGCGUUAAGUUGCAGGGUAUAGACCCGAAACCCGGUGAUCUAGCCAUGGGCAGGUUGAAGGUUGGGUAACACUAACUGGAGGACCGAACCGACUAAUGUUGAAAAAUUAGCGGAUGACUUGUGGCUGGGGGUGAAAGGCCAAUCAAACCGGGAGAUAGCUGGUUCUCCCCGAAAGCUAUUUAGGUAGCGCCUCGUGAACUCAUCUUCGGGGGUAGAGCACUGUUUCGGCUAGGGGGUCAUCCCGACUUACCAACCCGAUGCAAACUGCGAAUACCGAAGAAUGUUAUCACGGGAGACACACGGCGGGUGCUAACGUCCGUCGUGAAGAGGGAAACAACCCAGACCGCCAGCUAAGGUCCCAAAGUCAUGGUUAAGUGGGAAACGAUGUGGGAAGGCACAGACAGCCAGGAUGUUGGCUUAGAAGCAGCCAUCAUUUAAAGAAAGCGUAAUAGCUCACUGGUCGAGUCGGCCUGCGCGGAAGAUGUAACGGGGCUAAACCAUGCACCGAAGCUGCGGCAGCGACACUAUGUGUUGUUGGGUAGGGGAGCGUUCUGUAAGCCGUUGAAGGUGUACUGUGAGGUAUGCUGGAGGUAUCAGAAGUGCGAAUGCUGACAUAAGUAACGAUAAUGCGGGUGAAAAACCCGCACGCCGGAAGACCAAGGGUUCCUGUCCAACGUUAAUCGGGGCAGGGUGAGUCGACCCCUAAGGCGAGGCCGAAAGGCGUAGUCGAUGGGAAACAGGUUAAUAUUCCUGUACUUGGUGUUACUGCGAAGGGGGGACGGAGAAGGCUAUGUUAGCCGGGCGACGGUUGUCCCGGUUUAAGCAUGUAGGCGGAGGUUCCAGGUAAAUCCGGUACCUUUUUAACGCUGAGGUGUGAUGACGAGGCACUACGGUGCUGAAGUAACAAAUGCCCUGCUUCCAGGAAAAGCCUCUAAGCAUCAGGUAACACGAAAUCGUACCCCAAACCGACACAGGUGGUCAGGUAGAGAAUACCAAGGCGCUUGAGAGAACUCGGGUGAAGGAACUAGGCAAAAUGGUGCCGUAACUUCGGGAGAAGGCACGCUGAUAUGUAGGUGAAGUGAUUUACUCAUGGAGCUGAAAUCAGUCGAAGAUACCAGCUGGCUGCAACUGUUUAUUAAAAACACAGCACUGUGCAAACACGAAAGUGGACGUAUACGGUGUGACGCCUGCCCGGUGCCGGAAGGUUAAUUGAUGGGGUUAUCCGUAAGGAGAAGCUCUUGAUCGAAGCCCCGGUAAACGGCGGCCGUAACUAUAACGGUCCUAAGGUAGCGAAAUUCCUUGUCGGGUAAGUUCCGACCUGCACGAAUGGCGUAAUGAUGGCCAGGCUGUCUCCACCCGAGACUCAGUGAAAUUGAACUCGCUGUGAAGAUGCAGUGUACCCGCGGCAAGACGGAAAGACCCCGUGAACCUUUACUAUAGCUUGACACUGAACACUGGUCCUUGAUGUGUAGGAUAGGUGGGAGGCUUUGAAGUGUGGACGCCAGUCUGCAUGGAGCCAUCCUUGAAAUACCACCCUUUAAUGGCUGGUGUUCUAACGUGGACCCGUAAUCCGGGUUGCGGACAGUGUCUGGUGGGUAGUUUGACUGGGGCGGUCUCCUCCUAAAGAGUAACGGAGGAGCACGAAGGUUAGCUAAUCCUGGUCGGACAUCAGGAGGUUAGUGCAAAGGCAUAAGCUAGCUUGACUGCGAGAGUGACGGCUCGAGCAGGUGCGAAAGCAGGUCUUAGUGAUCCGGUGGUUCUGAAUGGAAGGGCCAUCGCUCAACGGAUAAAAGGUACUCCGGGGAUAACAGGCUGAUACCGCCCAAGAGUUCAUAUCGACGGCGGUGUUUGGCACCUCGAUGUCGGCUCAUCACAUCCUGGGGCUGAAGUAGGUCCCAAGGGUAUGGCUGUUCGCCAUUUAAAGUGGUACGCGAGCUGGGUUUAGAACGUCGUGAGACAGUUCGGUCCCUAUCUGCCGUGGGCGCUGGAGAAUUGAGGGGGGCUGCUCCUAGUACGAGAGGACCGGAGUGGACGCAUCACUGGUGUUCGGGUUGUCAUGCCAAUGGCAUUGCCCGGUAGCUAAAUGCGGAAGAGAUAAGUGCUGAAAGCAUCUAAGCACGAAACUUGCCCCGAGAUGAGUUCUCCCUGAGACUUUAAGUCUCCUGAAGGAACGUUGAAGACGACGACGUUGAUAGGUCGGGUGUGUAAGUGUAGCGAUACAUUGAGCUAACCGAUACUAAUGAACCGUGAGGCUUAACCUUACAACGCCGAAG